rnacentral:rRNA from 1 species
UACGGAGGGUGCGAGCGUUGUCCGGAAUCACUGGGCGUAAAGGGCGCGUAGGCGGCCGUGUAAGUCACUUGUGAAAUCCCGGGGCUCAACCCCGGGGCUGCAGGUGAGACUGCGUGGCUAGAGCACGGUAGAGGCGAGUGGAAUUCCCGGUGUAGCGGUGGAAUGCGUAGAUAUCGGGAGGAACACCGGUGGCGAAGGCGCACAUCUGGCCCGAUACUGACGCUGAAGCGCGAAAGCUAGGGGAGCAAACGGG